CAAUGGCAGAUCGAAUCUUAUCAUGGCUAACGCCACCGAUGAAUGUUCAAACAUUAACCUCCACUUAUCAUGUGUGCUUAACAAGAGAGCCUCCACCUCAUGCAAGAUCUUAUGCUGUGGAGGAUUCCCACCAGCCCCGCCUUUGUGAGGUAAAAACCUGAGUAGACACGGAAACACAGAAACUGACAACAAAUGACCUAACAGCCGUAAAGCUGAAGGCGCAGGCAAGUUUCCCAACCACGAAGUCUCCACCUGACUAGGACAACCAUUGGCCCGACCACUUGGAUACCUCCCCACCUUUCUGGAACGAUCCUUCAUCCAGCUACACUGAGGUUCGCUUUCUCCUUUAGCAUUGCAUUCUCUCCUCAGCCUCAGAGACGGCUUAACCCUUUCCUCAGCAAGUCUCGCCUCUCCAGCUCUGUCACCUCAGGGUCCUCUCAACCCUGGUCUCUGGAUUGUCCCACCAUUGCCCUCGAGUCCUCCAUCCUGCGCUUCAAGUCGUCUCGGGCAGGAGACGCUCUAGCCUCGUCCCUCCCGCGCGCUCCCUCCCAGCGAGGCCCCGCCCCCAGGUCACCUGAUCAGCCCAAAGCUCCGCCCAUGGAACUGCCUUGAAGGGUCAGUUGCGAAGACCGAGCCGCUGGGUCCUCCCAGGCCUCGGGCAAAGCCGCGGAGCCGGCGAGCCUCUGCCGCAUGGGCGCCUCCUGGAAAGCGCUGAGGUGGCGCACGCGCGCGUCCCCACACCUCACAAGGGCCUGUGACCUCACCCGAUCCAACCGAGGCCGGUUGUGGACACCAUUGGGAGACUGUCCUCCGACUGCGGGCCCAGCUGCCUCCUGCUCAGCUCGCUGUCCUUCCCUGGUGCUCUCUGUCCCACUGUGGCCUGUCCCCAACUUCAGGACCUGAACCCACGCCAAGACUGGACCCUGGCGAUAGCUCAACCUGAAUUCCUCCUUGUCUACAUUGAGAUGAACAGCACAGACCUUAAAUAGAUGAAUACAGUUCAUAUUCUGCCA